UUCCGGUUGAUCCUGCCGGACCUGACUGCUAUCGGAUUGAUACUAAGCCAUGCGAGUCUUUGUAGUAAUGCAAGGCAGACGGCUCAGUAACACGUAGUCAACCUACCCUAUGGAUGAGAAUAAUCUCGGGAAACUGAGGAUAAUACUCAAUAGAUCAUGAUGCCUGGAAUGGUUUAUGAUUAAAAUGAUUCGUCGCCAUAGGAUGGGACUGCGACCUAUCAGCUUGUUGGUGAGGUAAUGGCCCACCAAGGCGAUUACAGGUACGGGCUCUGAGAGGAGAAGCCCGGAGAUGGGUACUGAGACAAGGACCCAGGCCCUAUGGGGCGCAGCAGGCGAGAAAACUUUGCAAUGUGCGAAAGCACGACAAGGUUAAUCCGAGUGAUUUCUGCUAAAGGAAUCUUUUGUUAGUUCUAAAAAUACUAGUGAAUAAGGGGAGGGAAAGUCUGGUGUCAGCCGCCGCGGUAAUACCAGCUCCCCGAGUGGUCGGGACGAUUAUUAGGCCUAAAGCAUCCGUAGCCUGUUUUAUAGGUCUCAUGUUAAAUCCAUUCGCUUAACGAAUGGCCUGCAUGAGAUACCGCAUUGCUAGGAGGCGGGAGACGUGAACGGUAUUCCAUGGGUAGGGGUAAAAUCCUCUGAACCAUGGAAGACCACCAGUGGCGAAGGCGGUUCACGAGAACGCGCUCGACGGUGAGGGAUGAAAGCUGGGGUAGCGAACCGGAUUAGAUACCCGGGUAGUCCCAGCUGUAAACGAUGCAAGCUAGGUGAUGGAUUAGCCAUGUGUUAAUCCAGUGCCGCAGGGAAGCCGUUAAGCUUGCCGCCUGGGGAGUACGGUCGCAAGGCUGAAACUUAAAGGAAUUGGCGGGGGAGCACCACAAGGGGUGAAGCCUGCGGUUCAAUUGGAGUCAACGCCGGGAACCUUACCAGGAGAGACAGCAGGGUGAAGGUCAAGCUGAAGACUUUACCAGACAAGCUGAGAGGAGGCGCAUGGCCGUCGACAGCUCGUGCCGUGAGGCGUCCUGUUAAGUCAGGCAACGAGCGAGACCCUUAUCAUUAAUUGCUACCAUCGAUCGCAAGGUUGGCGGAGCUAAUUAACGGGACUGCCGUCGAUAAGACGGAGGAAGGAAGGGGCCACGGCAGGUCAGUAUGCCCCGAAACUCUUGGGCCACACGCGGGCUGCAAUGGUGGGCACAAUAGGCACCGACUUCGAAAGGAGGAGGCAAUCCAUAAAUCCUACCCCAGUUGUGAUUGAGGGCUGCAACUCGCCCUCAUGAAUCUGGAAUCCCUAGUAAUCGCGUGUCAACAUCGCGCGGUGAAUACGUCCCUGCUCCUUGCACACACCGCCCGUCGCUUCACCCGAGUUGGGUUUGGAGGAGGUAGUAUCUUUUUGAUAUUAUCGAAUCUGGGUUCGACAAGGGGGGAGAAGUCGUAACAAGGUAGCCGUA
rnacentral:rRNA from 2 species